CUCUCACUGCUCUUCUCAGGAUUACCUGGAAGAAAGAGGCUGCUAAAUGCAAAGGAGAAGGAGAGAAAUGCCUCCUGGGCGUAUGUGGAAGGUCAUGGGCAUCUGGUAACAGGAAAUACUCUCUGGGAUCUACAGAAUAACAGAACUGGGAGAAAACCUAAUUGGCAGUGCAUCAGUUCUAACACAUGUAAGUUGAUAUGGGAAUGGUGUGCAUCUGGUAUAAAUGGGAAGCAUUCUGAAUAAUCUGAAUCUUUUGAGGACCUUCACCUUGGAAAGGCAGAUGAUACAGGAGCAGUAGGAUGAUGUACAAAGUAGACACACGAGGUGAAACAGAAAGAAGUCUUCUGUGAAAUGAUCGGGAAAGCAGAGACUAUGAAGUGCUUCUGAAUUUGUACUGCUUAGCAAGUGCUUGGCAAAUAUAAAAAGAGCAAGGCUGGAAACAACAAGUAUUUGUUGCCCAAGGCCAUACACCCUCUGUGGCAUCAAACCCUGUCUGACCUACAGGAAAAUUCCUAGAGCUCACAUAUGUUUCACCUCAUUGGAAUUUACCUGGGAGUCUUUGGUGUGUUUUAGACAGGAGAUGAGUGGCCCUAGAUGUUUAAAAUGAAACUUACUGUGCAAGACAAAAAGGAAAAAGGCUACUGUAGCUAUGAGAUAAAUAUGCAGCUGGCUUGACGGUUGUGAUCCGAUGUGUUGAGAGGAGAAACCAUCAAAAUAUGAUAUAUGAGCAGAGCUUUGGGAGUCAUCAUCCAGCUGCAACAAAGAUGUAACAAUCGCAGGGAUAAGACAGAAAACUUGAAAGACGAGCUUCAAAUGUUCUGUAUUGACUGUUUUAAAGCAAUAGACAUGACUGAAAGCAAGUAUAUACUGAUGAUCUUGGGGGGCCGUUCCAACUGAAGCCAUUCUAUGAUUCUGUCAUAUGAUUCUAUGUUUAUUUAUAUACAUGCGGUGUGUAGGCAGCUCUGGAAGGUCUGGAAAAUGGCAACAUUUAAAUGCAAUAAUGAUAGAAAUAGGCAGGAAUUAGUGUCUUAAAAUUCCAUAUUGGUAUGGUAUGGCAAUGAGGGGAAAUCAGGUACAUGAAAGCAGGGGAAGAAAUCACUGUGUUAUUCCUGAAGGUACUUUGGAUCCUCCAUGAGGUUGUGCUUCUGGAAUUAAGCUUUCACUUUGGCAGAUACUGCUUUCCAGUUACAAGCCUAUUAAGGCCUUCUCAACAAGAACAUCAAUGAAGAUGUUCUCCAUGUGCAAAACUAUGUUAAUUAUUGUUCUUAUAGUAGUCUCUCUGCCCUUUUCAGAUGCAGAAGAAUCAUUUUUAAACAAAAGCAAUAAAGUGGU
rnacentral:lncRNA from 7 species